GCCAGGUUGGCGGAGCGGCCACGCGACUGCCUGCAGAGCAGUUCUACGCCUGUUCAAAUCAGGCACCUGGCU
rfam:Methanocorpusculum labreanum Z, complete genome.